rnacentral:rRNA from 1 species
CCUAACCGGGAGCCGGCAGUAGAUACUGGUGUGCUAGAGGAUGAGAGAGAGGAGUGGAAUUCUCGGAGUAGCGGUAAAAUGCGUAGAUCUCGAGAGGAACACCGAUGGCGAAAGCAGCUCCUUGGCUCAUUCCUGACGCUCAGGCCCGAAAGCAUGGGUAGCAAACAGGAUUAGAUACCCUGGUAGUCCAUGCUGUAAACGCUGAUCACUAGACGUUAGGGCUGCUUUGCGGCCUUAGUGUCGAAGCUAACGCGUUAAGUGAUCCGCCUGGGGAGUACGGUCGCAAGACUAAAACUUAAAGAAAUUGACGGGGGUUCGCACAAGCGGUGGAACAUGUGGUUUAAUCCGAUACUACGCGCGGAACCUUACCUGGGUUUGACAUGUAUCUGCUAGCCAUGGAAACAUGGCGUUCCAAAGCUUUGCUUUGGACGG